GGAAGGGGUGUAUUUAUUAGAUAAAAAACCAAUGCCCUUCGGGGCUCCUUGGUGAAUCAUAAUAACUUAACGAAUCGCAUGGCCUUGCGCCGGCGAUGGUUCAUUCAAAUUUCUGCCCUAUCAACUUUCGAUGGUAGGAUAGUGGCCUACCAUGGUGGCAACGGGUAACGGGGAAUUAGGGUUCGAUUCCGGAGAGGGAGCCUGAGAAACGGCUACCACAUCCAAGGAAGGCAGCAGGCGCGCAAAUUACCCAAUCCCGACACGGGGAGGUAGUGACAAUAAAUACUGAUACGGGGCUCUUUUGGGUCUCGUAAUUGGAAUGAGUACAAUCUAAAUCCCUUAACGAGGAACAAUUGGAGGGCAAGUCUGGUGCCAGCAGCCGCGGUAAUUCCAGCCCCAAUAGCGUAUAUUAAAGUUGUUGCAGUUAAAAAGCUCGUAGUUGAACCUUGGGUCUGGCUGGCCGGUCCGCCUCACCGCGAGUACUGGUCCGGCUGGACCUUUCCUUCUGGGGAAUCUCAUGGCCUUCACUGGCUGUGGCGGGGAACCAGGACUUUUAC
rnacentral:rRNA from 1 species